CACUACCCAAAACUUCAAGAUCUAACAGGGGGAUGGCUGCUUUAUAAACAUUAAGAGGUUCUGGACGGAGAAAACUUUCACUUAUACCUCCAGAGACUGAGGGUUACCAUGGAAACCUUUUGAAAACUGUGACAGUAGGAGGAAAAAACAUGAUCUACAUAUUUCCACUUCAGGAGAAAACUGAUAUGUCUCCUCUUCCUCUGGAUGCUCUAGAACUUCAAAGCAUGCCUAAAGCAUCAUGGGAAGUUUGCAGUGUUACCUUGCAGUUGUAAGUCUUGGCUGUCCGUGUAAAAUCAUGUGUUGACCUCAGAUCUUCAGGAGACGACUUUGAAAUCUCUAAGAUUUUUUAAUAUCUUUAUGCUCUUUAUUUUAUUUUUCUACUUUUUCUUACAAAAAUAUAUUUUAAAAGUAUUCUCAUCAUGAAAGCAGUGCUAAUGAAGGUACUCCAGUGGCAUCAACAUCAAGUACAAAUGAUGCCAGUUUCCCUGGAACACAUCUGUUUUUAAUUUGAGGCAGCUUGUCCAGUAUGUGAAGAGGAAUAUCUGCUGGAUAUUUUACAGAUCCAUGCCAGCUGUUGUGGAGACAGUCUUGAGGAGACCUCACCCAGACCAGAACAGGUUUCCAAAUCACUUGGAGGUGCACUGAAAAAGUCACUGACACAUGUUAAUAUAUCAUUUAUAGCUGACACAUUUCACACAUAGGUGAUCAUGUUAAUUAUUUUAUUUAUUUAUUAUUUACUUUAAAAUAAAUAUAUGUAAUUUUCUGUAUUUAAAUCACACACAAUAUAAUUUAUCCAGAUGCAUUUAAACUAAGUAUAUUCUAUUUAUGUGAAAUAUGGUGGACCAGUGAAUGUGGAGAAGUAAUAAAGUUAAGAAAUAAAGCAUUUAAAGCACUUAAAAUAAUUCCAAUGUUUCAGAACUUAAUUGAAUAUUAAAAAAAAACAAGCAAUGGUGAGGAAAAUUGUUAAAAAU